rnacentral:rRNA from 1 species
GACGAACGCUGGCGGCGCGCCUAACACAUGCAAGUCGAACGAGCGAGAGAGAGCUUACUUUCUCGAGCGAGUGGCGAACGGGUGAGUAACGCGUGAGGAACCUGCCUCAAAGAGGGGGACAACAGUUGGAAACGACUGCUAAUACCGCAUAAGCCCACGGCUCGGCAUCGAGCAGAGGGAAAAGGAGCAAUCCGCUUUGAGAUGGCCUCGCGUCCGAUUAGCUAGUUGGUGAGGUAACGGCCCGCCAAGGCGACGAUCGGUAGCCGGACUGAGAGGUUGAACGGCCACAUUGGGACUGAGACACGGCCCAGACUCCUACGGGAGGCAGCAGUGGGGAAUAUUGCACAAUGGGGGAAACCCUGAUGCAGCGACGCCGCGUGGAGGAAGAAGGUCUUCGGAUUGUAAACUCCUGUUGUUGAGGAAGAUAAUGACGGUACUCAACAAGGAAGUGACGGCUAACUACGUGCCAGCAGCCGCGGUAAAACGUAGGUCACAAGCGUUGUCCGGAAUUACUGGGUGUAAAGGGAGCGCAGGCGGGAAGACAAGUUGGAAGUGAAAUCCAUGGGCUCAACCCAUGAACUGCUUUCAAAACUGUUUUUCUUGAGUAGUGCAGAGGUAGGCGGAAUUCCCGGUGUAGCGGUGGAAUGCGUAGAUAUCGGGAGGAAGACCAGUGGCGAAGGCGGCCUACUGGGCACCAACUGACGCUGAGGCUCGAAAGUGUGGGUAGCAAACAGGAUUAGAUACCCUGGUAGUCCACACUGUAAACGAUGAUUACUAGGUGUUGGAGGAUUGACCCCUUCAGUGCCGCAGUUAACACAAUAAGUAAUCCACCUGGGGAGUACGACCGCAAGGUUGAAACUCAAAGGAAUUGACGGGGGCCCGCACAAGCAGUGGAGUAUGUGGUUUAAUUCGACGCAACGCGAAGAACCUUACCAAGUCUUGACAUCCUGCGACGCACAUAGAAAUAUGUGUUUCCUUCGGGACGCAGAGACAGGUGGUGCAUGGUUGUCGUCAGCUCGUGUCGUGAGAUGUUGGGUUAAGUCCCGCAACGAGCGCAACCCUUAUGGUCAGUUACUACGCAAGAGGACUCUGGCCAGACUGCCGUUGACAAAACGGAGGAAGGUGGGGAUGACGUCAAAUCAUCAUGCCCUUUAUGACUUGGGCUACACACGUACUACAAUGGCGUUAAACAAAGAGAAGCAAGACCGCGAGGUGGAGCAAAACUCAGAAACAACGUCCCAGUUCGGACUGCAGGCUGCAACUCGCCUGCACGAAGUCGGAAUUGCUAGUAAUCGCAGAUCAGCAUGCUGCGGUGAAUACGUUCCCGGGCCU